rnacentral:misc_RNA from 1 species
GCUAGCCGAAGGCGGCUCCCCUUGAAUGCGUCGGUUGGGUUCCUUAGGCUUUUGCGUCGAAAUGGGGCGUUGUAUCAUCCUCGCUCUCGCUAGACUGCGGCUUAGGUAUUGUUCCCUUCCUAGACUUAGCCUUUGGAGUGGCGGUCAAACACAAAUCGAAUUCUGACCUCAAAUCAGGUAGGACUACCCGCUGAACUUAA